CAAUAGCGUAUAUUAAAGUUGUUGCAGUUAAAAAGCUCGUAGUUGGACCUUGGACCUGGACAGGCGGUCCGCCUCACGGCGAGUACUGUCUUGCCGGGCCUUUCCUCUUGGUGAUCUGUUGUUUCGGCAGCAGGGAACCAGGACCUUUACUUUGAAAAAAUUAGAGUGUUCAAAGCAGGCUCGACGCCGGAAUAUAUUAGCAUGGAAUAAUAAAAUAGGACGUGCGGUUCUAUUUUGUUGGUUUUUGGAAUCGCCGUAAUGAUUAAUAGGGACAGUCGGGGGCAUUAGUACUCACAUGCUAGAGGUGAAAUUCUUGGAUUUUGUGAAGACUAACUUCUGCGAAAGCAUUUGCCAAGGAUGUUUNCGUUAA
rnacentral:rRNA from 1 species